CCACCUAGAUAAGUCAAACUCCUCGUUGUGUGGCUCCUCUUGAACCACCUGUACUUCUCCUGUGGGGGUGUGAGACAACAAGGGUGAGCUCACACAUGUUCAUCGCUCAACAAGUUGUGGGGAACAAUGUGCUUGAACUCGCCAAAGGUGGGAGCUCAUGAAGUGUAAGGCUUACCAAAGAGAAUGGUUAAAGCUGAGCAUUGCUUUUAAAGUUGGUCAAAAUUUUAUUAGCAAUUACUAAAUGUAAGUGAAUACCAACCAUAAUAAGAGUAAUAGAACAAAACUAAUAAAUAAUCCCAUGCAAUGCAAAUGACAAAUUGAAUUUAGUUCCAUAGUUUAAUCAUGCGAGUGUCCUGAGCUGCUCUUGACCGUGAGCUCGGCUAGUGUACCAGUUUUACACUCUGCAGAGGUUGUACCCUAUACCCACAAGUCAUGUUACCCAUCUGCCACGGUGUUGUAUGGGCCUCAUACACCUCUACCAAGGAAGCGAGGCAGGGUAACACUACGAGGCCUUUACAAAGUUCCACUAGCUUCCGAAAACCCGCUACAGUUUAUGGGAAGAGCAAUUGCAGGAAUCCCCCGUCUAACCGCCAUCGUAGCAAAAUCAACCUGAGAACCUCCCUGCAUGCAACUCUCCUACUGCCCUUGCCCCUUUCGGGUAAGGUAGUCUUCUAGUAUUUUUUCUAAUUAGUCAGCCAAGGGCGUCCCAUUCCACCCUUGUGGUGGCACGUGUUUCUCAAGUUAAGCUCCAUGUUCCAAUUAAAAUUAGUGAUCUUGACAUGAACAUAAAUAACAUAACAGAAUAAUUGGAACUUGGAUAUAAUUAAAGAUUAACCCAAAACCAUAUAAAGCAAUAGCAAAACUACCCAAAUGAUUCAGGGGUAAACAAGGUAAAAGAUAAUCAGAUUAGGGUGGUCUAUUGGGUCCCAUCAAAAUUAAACUUAUGCAUGAAUAAGUGAUAUUAAAGAACAUUAUUGGGUAAUAAAUGUGGUCAAGGGCACAACUUGCCUGGGACUUGAGAUUCCAAGUAUCAGGAUGAUCUUCAAGUGACACAUGACCUCGCUGCUAGUCGUAGCAAUACAAACAAACAUGGUAUAGACAAAAUUAACAUCACACCAAACAUAAGAACAAAUUGUAUAUAAUAAUCUACGUGUCGUUAUUAGAUCGUGGAAACAAGAGUCACAAAAUUCGGAGUUACGGUUGAGUAGUUAUGAUUUAUGGAAGAUCUAUGUGAUUUAAACAUUAACUAUAUUAUAAAUUGAUUAAUAUACAUCAUAUGAGAAAAUAUACUCUUAAAUAAUCAAUUCUACUUUUAAUCUUAAUUAUAACUUAACUAGAGAUCAUGUUUUAACCCCAUUGUAAUUAUGGUCAGGUUAGUUUUGAUUUAGAAGAGCUAAUCUAGUAGACAUAGGAUAAAUAUAUAUCUAACUAUUAAAUUAUGCAAUAUGGUAUAAUUAAUGUUGUUACUGCGUAGUAAAUACUUAUACUAAACUAACGCAACUGGAACGAGUCAAUUCGGAAUUUAAACGAAGGAGUUAUGAUUUUAUGUAGGUUUUAUGUAUUUGAUACAAGAUUAAUUAAGAGAUACAUUUUAAUAUGGUUUUCAUGUCAAAACAGAGAUACUAGUUGAUAAACAAUAAUAUUACAAAAUUAUAGAAACUGGAAUGGAUUAAUUUGGACUUUAUAUGAAUUUUAUAUGAAUUAAACAAGUUCUAGCAUUUAUUUUCACAUUAAAAAUCAUUUUCUAAUUACUUUUAUUGGAUUUUCUAAUUCUCUGGACUGGGCAUCAAAUUCUAUAAAAUACAGGGGCCCCUACGCAAGAUUUCUUAGACUCACCCCUCGAUUAUGGUGGACGGCGGGUUAUUUAUUAAUAUCUUCAUGGGCUCUUUUGUAAAGCUGUCAGCCGAAGGGGUAUUCUUUGAUUUUAGCGGUUGGAUCGGAUCCGAGGGACAAGAUUAGAUGACAUUGCGGUAUGCGAUGAAGCAAUCCUAACCAUUGGUAGUUGGAUCUAUGGCCUAGGUUUUAAAUAUCCCUCACCGCCUCGGAUGCAUUCGAUCGAGAUCCAAUGACAUAGAUGCGAAUCAACCGAACCGGUAUUCAAGAUGCAAUCUUAGCCCUUGAUGACUGAUUGGACGGUGCGCGGUUACCAGCCCAGCCCACAGGGUCCCGGUGGCGGCGCCGCCCACCGCGCAUGGCGGAACCCACGUCGGAGCAUACUGAUCGGCGCCCCAAAGCUCCCCACACUCAAUCAGGCCACGAUUCGUGACAAGAACAGUGAGUCAAACACGAUGGGGAUACAUAACGCGGCUGGAGGACAAUGGAGGGGACCGGCCACGGGCGACGGCGGGUACACGGCGGAGUGCCAACUCCAGCGAGGAAUCAACGGGUACCGAACGACUCCAAUCGUCUGAGAAGGUCGCCAAUACGUGCGGAUGGCAAUGUCGACCUUCCCCCGAACCCAAGCAGAGAGCAGAGGCGCAGAUGGCGGCGCAAUCAGAAUUGGCAAGCGAUGGUUUUACGGUGGGUCUCGACGGCGUGAUGUCGUGCAUUAUGGGGGAAGGGGCGAGUUCUGGGGAUAUAUAGCGCAGAGCUCAAGGGGAUAGGCAUGGACCAAUUGGGUCACAACUAAAACGCUACAGAUGCGGUGGGGCCCGCGCCGAGGAGGUAGCCGGGAGGUGCGGAAUCAGUUGUCGCGUCCGCGAUUCUGGUGAGGAGGACGAAUCUGGUGCCAUGGGCCAACCGGUCAUUAACAUGGAGCAACCGCAGGCACCCAGCACAUGAGGUUGACGGGGCAGCCCACAUGUCAGCGACGGUGGAGGUAUUCCUGGGCCGAGGAGAGGGGAGAGGAAAAAAAGGAAGUGGGCCGCGGGGUAACGAAUUCAGCCCAAGACGCGUCUUCUUUUGUUUUUUAUUUCCCUUUUCUAUCUCUAUCUUCUACUUUCAUACUCCCACUCAAUUCAUAAUUUGAAUUCAAAUUUGCUUAUAGAUUUCACACAGGGAUCAAGUGCUCAAAUAAAAGUACUAGCCUAAAAUAAUAUAUUUAUUUCUUUAUAUAUUUUUCUUCAUAGUGUAUAUUGUUUUUCUUUUCUUUUUCCUGCUUUCUUAUUCCAAAUUUCUAUUUCUUUUUCCAAAUUCAAACUUGGUUUUGGAUUUCCAAUUCAAUUAAAUGCACAAUCAUAAGAACCAGCAUGAGAUGUCAUCAUAUUUUUAUAUACAUAUUUUUUAUUCAUUCAUUUAUUAUUCUACAUAAGCAAUUGCUUUUGAAUAUGUAGCAGACAUGUAAUUGUUUUAAGAAAAAUAGUUUAUAUUGUAUGAUCUCUUAUUAAAAGAAAUGUUAUCACAUUAAUACUUAUAAAUUUUAACAAAGGUUAAUUUAUAUAAGAAUCUUUUUAUUGAAUUUUUGUUAUACAACUUUUAUUUAAGGAGAUGUGACUUCAAAUGUUAUGGGAAUUCUAAAGAAGAGAAAAAAAAUAUUCUAAUUCAAGGUCUUUGAAAAUUUUUACUAUAUUCUCAAAAUGAGAUUUAGGGUGUUACAGUUACUCAUAGUAGAAAUGCAAGGUAACCUUUUACCAUGCCACGAGUGCAUAAAGUUGAUAACAAGAAAGCGUGACAAAUCCCUACAAAUUAAAAUAACUCGUUCUUACAUAUAUAUAGCCAAAAUUAUUUAGUUGCCUUUUAGGUAUAAGAAAUUACUAGUUUAAUGUUUUUGGAACCCAUGGUGGUACUAUAUGACGUCACAUAUAAAUAUCGUCCUUCCAUGUAGGAUUGGCCAAUUCCAUGACGGCAUUCAUAUUAUUGGCAAUACUAUGUAUUUUGUGAAUAUAAUGCAUGCUUGGAUUGUUACCCUUAAACCAUGAUGGUAGAGGCAUGGAGUCCAUUAUAUAGAUGCUUCUGGUGUUCAUGUUAAAUACAUAUAAACUGAAGUGACUGUGUAUAGCACAUAAAGGAUAGAAAAUACAGAGCUGAAAAGCACAAGCUAACACAUUUACAUGAUUAAUUUACAUAUUUUCAGACCAUAAGGGCACCGUUUCUUCAGUUCGUGCCAUGAUUAAUUUACAUGGAGGACAGAUGGCCGCCCACAACCACAUCACGUAGCAUGGCCACACUUUUCAAGUUGCAAGGAAGUAACUCAAUUAUUGGUUGAACAUUGCAGUUUUGAUUAGUUAAACCAGAAGAACAUUUUGGGCUUUUUUCUAAUCACCAAUCAAGAAACAAACAGAAAGAUAAACUGAGAAGCAACCCAAUUAAGCCACCUUUCCGGAAAUGAGCUGGAAAUCCAACCAUGAAAUGAACAUGUACAAUAGACAGAAAUAUAGACCAUAAUAGAACUAGUACUACUCUAGACCAGUAGGGAAUGCAACAAUUCAGAAUUAAAACUGAAGAUGAAGUCAAAAACCUAUACUAUGAAUCUUUAUAGGAACUUCAGUUUUAGCAAGCUAUGUUUAAAUGAAUGGACAUUUCAGAACAGCUGACUUAAGUUCACGGAUCAUAGCAAUUUGUCAAUAAUUUUCUAAACACGAUCUGUAUAUAGCUUCUUAACAGAACAACUGAUCUAAGUACAGGGAAACACUAUGCAUGCAAACAUAAAAGAAAAACAACAAUACACAGAAUUUCAAUGUGAAAACAAAAUUAACAACCAUAGAAUCCUGGAUGUCAGUAAAUAGAAACAGCGGAACUGAUCUACCGACUAAAUAGAAACAACAGAAUCAUAUGUGUUACCUGUUCUAGUAGAUAGAAAUAGCUUAUUUAGAGUACCAACCAAACAAUAAAAAAUUCAAAGUAGAUAGAAACAGUCGAACCCAUAGUAGAUGUGUGGUUCACUUGUCUAGAUUCUAAACCAGUAAAUUAGUAUUUCUAUUUAGGAAGAAACGAAGCGUCUGUUUCUAAUUUAGCAUAUGAUUCUGCAGGCAAUAAAUUAGAAACAGAGGCGUCUUUAGAGUACCAACCAAACAAUAAUGCGAUUGUAUGACGUCGCGUGGCGUCCAUGCUCUUCUCCUCGCCUUCCCGCCGACGGUUGCGUCCACGCUCUUCUCCUCGCCUAUGAACCACUCCGGCCGGAACUCCUCAGGCUUGGAAAACAGCAUCAAACAGAGACUCAUAUCCCAGCGGAUCUAUGGCGGGGCUUGGAAAGCAGCAUCAAACAGAGACUCAGAUCCCAGCGGAUCUAGGGCGGGCGAGAGGGAAAAGCAGAACUGAAACCAUCCGGAGAAGAAGUGAGGAGAUUUAACGAGUGUAUGCAUCCACGGCAUGCGUGGAGCGCGGGGUGGGAAGCAAUGGCGGCAGAGGUUAGUUGGAGGCAUGCGUGGAGCGUGGGGUCGAGGAGGCGGAGGCUACGGGCGACCGCAUCGCAUGCACCGGGCGG
rnacentral:lncRNA from 1 species